rnacentral:rRNA from 2 species
CCAAUAGCGUAUAUUAAAGUUGUUGCAGUUAAAAAGCUCGUAGUUGAAUUUCGAAAUUUUUUUAUCGGUUGAAUCAACAGGUUCGUACUGAUUUUAAGAAUUUCUACCUUCUGGAGAACCUUAAUGUCAUUUAUUUGAUGUUUUGGGAAACCAGGACUGUUACCUUGAAAAAAUUAGAGUGUUUAAAGCAGGCUUAUGUCUGAAUAUAUUAGCAUGGAAUAAUGAAAUAGGACGGCAUGGUUCUAUUUUGUUGGUUUCUAGGAUCACCGUAAUGAUUAAUAGGGAUAGUUGGGGGCAUUAGUAUUCAAUUGUCAGAGGUGAAAUUCUUGGAUUUAUUGAAGACUAACUUCUGCGAAAGCAUUUGCCAAGGAUGUUUUCAUUAAUCAAGAACGAAAGUUAGGGGAUCGAAGACGAUCAGAUACCGUCGUAGUCUUAACCAUAAACUAUGCCGACUAGGAAUCGGACGAAGUUAAUUUUUUAAUGACUCGUUCGGCGCCUUACG